rnacentral:lncRNA from 1 species
CAUGGCUUGAUGAGCUGUGCCAUGCUCGGACGGACCUGAACCGGGAACCUCGGGACCCCCGAAGUGGAGCCUGUGAUCUUGACCACUGUGCCACGGCCGGCCCCUUGGGGUAGCUUUCUAAGAGCAACAAGCUGGUGGACACGAUUGUGUGUCGAAGCUGCUCCUGUUACAGAAGAGCGAGGAGAGGAGGCCCCAGCGCGUGCACGCCGAGGUGUCCUCUGCGGGAGCGCGCGGGGCCCUAGAGGCGUCGCGGGCCGUCACCUCCCGGGAGAAGAGCGGCCCCUCCUCGCUGCGCCGCCGCCGACCGGCCGGGAGAUGGUGCUGCGCCCUCGGCCCCGGCGGGACGGCGGCGCGGAUCGCCGAGCGCGGGCCGGACAGAGCGACGGGCCGGCCUGGCCUCCCCGCUUCCCGCGAUGCGAGGCCGGAGCCCGCGGCGCCCGUUGUGCCGGGCUCCCCCGCGGCCGCCGAAGCUGAGGACGGCCUCCGCGUCUUCCUCCGCAAAGGGACGGUUUGGGCUCGCACUGCGGGGUGACAGAGCCCUUCGGGCCGCCGGCUCCAGCAGCAGCGAUGACGGUCCUCACGUCUACGGGGUGACGGGGGCCCUGCGCUCGCUCUCGGGGGUCGCGCCCGACCAUCCCCGCGCCUCGGCUGCAUCGCUGCCCCUGCUCCGGGGGGAGCGGUCGCCGGGCCUGCGGGUCAGGCCGCCUGGUCCGUAGGUUCCGCCCCGUCGCCUGGGCCACAUCUGCUGGUCGCAGCAGGUCCAAGGCCAGCUCGACCCAACGGGCGGGGUCAUAGGCCCCAGCUCUCCGUGGACCGGGAUAAAUCACACGCCCGCGAGCAUGCUGGGAGGCGGACUUCGGGGCCAUCCUAUUUGAUCCGCAAAAACAGGGCAGGAGGGAGAUAACGGAGGGAGACGGUGAAGCAGCUGGGCUACACGGACAAGUUCCUCACUCCAGUACAUCGGGGAGUUAUUCGUGCUCAGGCUGGUGGCAAGCUUCCCCUUGAGCUCGUCACGUUCUUCAGUGCAGCACAACACAGAGUAAAGGUCCAUGGGUGUUUAUGCGGCGGCUGGAGCAGCCAGAAGAACCCUCUGCUCACCAACACCUUCCUCUGUCUCCCAAGUCCUUCCUGUCGGCUCCUUGCAGACAGACGGCUAAGUUCACCUGGGCACAAACAAGUCAAAGGCUUCCUUAUGCUGGUUCCAGACAUCCACCACGAAUGUGGAUGAUGAGCCUAUGGGGCUGCCGCACUGCAGAGCCAACACGGGGUGAAAAUGAAUCGAGCACGUCCUGCAGGUGCCUCUGCUGAGGGAUCUUUUCACGCUGAGGACACUGAACAGAGAGAAUAUGCAGCUGGUCACAGAAAGCCGUUCAGCUAUUUCAAAGCUUCUACACAAAACAAAAC